UUACGGUCUUCUUCCGGUUUUCCUCCAGCUUGUUGACAUAUUUACCACGUGUCUGUGUUUUUGCUAAAAAUGAGACGGUACAGAUAUGGCGAUCCGUCAAAAGUUAGCCGAAUACACUGGAAAAGCGCAUUGUAUUUCCUUGCAGCUUGGAACGUGUUAGGCAUUGUCGUAUAUAAAGUGUACAAGUCGAAAAAGAAAGAUGAAACGCCAGAAUGGGAUAACCUGACAAGUACUCAAAAGUACAUGCAGUUGGUCACUGUUGGAGGAAAUAAGCCUAUAGAAAAGGUACAAAUGUCCGGUCUGACACCUGUGCGGACAGAAGAAUUUAAGAAAGAGUGAUUAUAAAGGUGAUUUGUGUGAUUCAUGUAAUUGUGAUCCUCUGAAGGGUGCCAGAUUAGUCACCAUGGACACUGGAACAUUUAUGUUGUCAUAAACACCAACAGAAUCUGAUAAGAUGUGUUUGUGUGGCCUCAUUCGUGUAUAAAUGUCAACACACAUGAGAAAUCCCAACAGUCAAGAAGAGUAUUCUUUUGAAAGAUGUUAAAUAAGUGUCUAGAGCAAAGUACACCUACUUAUAACAUUUCUCAAAAACUGAGAUCAAAUAUGUUGGUGCCAUAUAUCCACCAGUUUGACUCCAGCAUGCUGACAGUGUUAGAGGAAGACUGGAGACUGACUGAACUGACAUAGCUGUAAAUGAAGUACAAUUGUUUCCUCACUAUGAACUGAUUUUUAUAUUAAUGACUUAUUUAUAUGUCAUUCUGAGGCAGUUUUCUUUAGCGACAUUGUAAGAUUGUUUUGAGUGAAUGUGUUUGUGUAAAUAAAUGAGAGUGUUGCCCUA